UCCUCGGUAGCUCAGCGGUAGAGCGAUCGGCUGUUAACCGAUUGGUCGUAGGUUCGAAUCCUACCCGGGGAG
rnacentral:tRNA from 1 species